rnacentral:rRNA from 1 species
UACGAAGGGGGGCUAGCGUUGUUCGGAAUUACUGGGCGUAAAGCGCACGUAGGCGGAUAUUUAAGUCAGGGGUGAAAUCCCGCAGCUCAACUGCGGAACUGCCUUUGAUACUGGGUAUCUUGAGUAUGGAAGAGGUUAGUGGAAUUGCGAGUGUAGAGGUGAAAUUCGUAGAUAUUGCAAGAACACCAGUGGCGAAGGCGGCUACUGGCC